rnacentral:rRNA from 1 species
UACGAAGGGGGCUAGCGUUGCUCGGAAUUACUGGGCGUAAAGGGCGCGUAGGCGGACAUUUAAGUUAGAGGUGAAAGCCCAGGGCUCAACCCUGGAAUAGCCUUUAAUACUGGAUGUCUUGAGUUCGGGAGAGGUGAGUGGAAUGCCGAGUGUAGAGGUGAAAUUCGUAGAUAUUCGCAAGAACACCAGUGGCGAAGGCGGCUCACUGGCCCGGUACUGACGCUGAGGUGCGAAAGCGUGGGGAGCAAACAGG